rnacentral:rRNA from 1 species
UACGGGGGGGGCAAGCGUUGUUCGGAAUUACUGGGCGUAAAGGGUGCGUAGGCGGUCUGUUAAGUUGGAUGUGAAAACUCUGGGCUCAACCCAGAGCCUGCAUCCAAAACUGGCAGGCUAGAGUUCUGGAGGGGGUAGCGGAAUUCCUGGUGUAGCGGUGAAAUGCGCAGAUAUCAGGAGGAACACCGGUGGCGAAGGCGGGACUCUGGGCCGAUACUGACGCUGAGGAGCGAAAGCGUGGGGAGCGAACAGG